rnacentral:rRNA from 1 species
GUUGUAUGGUUAAGUGACUAAGCGUACACGGUGGAUGCCUUGGCAGUCAGAGGCGAUGAAGGACGUAUUAACUUGCGAUAAGCCCAGAUUAGGUAGUAAAAAYCAUUUGAGUCUGGGAUUUCCGAAUGGGGAAACCCAAUACCAUAAGGUAUUACUGUUGAGUGAAUACAUAGCUCAACAGGGCGAACCGGGGGAACUGAAACAUCUAAGUACCCCGAGGAAAAGAAAUCAACCGAGAUUCCGAAAGUAGCGGCGAGCGAAAUUGGACUAGCCCUUAAGCUUUACACGCGUUAGACGAACAGCCUGGAAAGGCCGACGAUACAGGGUGAUAGUCCCGUAGUUGACGACGUG